rnacentral:rRNA from 1 species
UGGGGAAUAUUGGACAAUGGGCGAAAGCCUGAUCCAGCCAUGCCGCGUGUGUGAAGAAGGUCUUCGGAUUGUAAAGCACUUUAAGUUGGGAGGAAGGGCAUUAACCUAAUACGUUAGUGUUUUGACGUUACCGACAGAAUAAGCACCGGCUAACUCUGUGCCAGCAGCCGCGGUAAUACAGAGGGUGCAAGCGUUAAUCGGAAUUACUGGGCGUAAAGCGCGCGUAGGUGGUUUGUUAAGUUGGAUGUGAAAUCCCCGGGCUCAACCUGGGAACUGCAUUCAAAACUGACUGACUAGAGUAUGGUAGAGGGAGGUGGAAUUUCCUGUGUAGCGGUGAAAUGCGUAGAUAUAGGAAGGAACACCAGUGGCGAAGGCGACCACCUGGACUAAUACUGACACUGAGGUGCGAAAGCGUGGGGAGCAAACA